GAUGAAGAACGUAGCGAAAUGCGAUAAGUAAUGUGAAUUGCAGAAUUCAGUGAAUCAUCGAAUCUUUGAACGCACAAUGCGCCCGCCAGUAUUCUGGCGGGCAUGCCUGUCCGAGCGUCAUUUCAACCCUCGAACCCCUCCGGGGGGUCGGCGUUGGGGAUCGGCACUUACCUGCCGGCCCCGAAAUACAGUGGCGGUCUCGCCGCAGCCUCUCCUGCGCAGUAGUUUGCACACUCGCACCGGGAGCGCGGCGCGUCCACGGCCGUAAAACAACCCAAACUUCUGAAAUGUUGACCUCGGAUCAGGUAGGAAUACCCGCUGAACUUAAGCAUAUCAAUAAGCGGAGGA
rnacentral:misc_RNA from 1 species